rnacentral:rRNA from 1 species
UGAUGCCGCGUGAGUGAAGAAGGCCUUUGGGUUGUAAGGCUCUUUUGUAGGGGAAGAUAAUGACUGUACCCUAAGAAUAAGGUCCGGCUAACUUCGUGCCAGCAGCCGCGGUAAUACGAAGGGACCUAGCGUAGUUCGGAAUUACUGGGCGUAAAGCGCGCGUAGGCCGUUGAGUUAGUUAAUUGUGAAAUCCCAAAGCUUAACUUUGGAACUGCAAUUAAAACUGCUCGACUAGAGUUUGAUAGAGGAAAGCGGAAUACAUAGUGUAGAGGUGAAAUUCGUAGAUAUUAUGUAGAACACCAGUUGCGAAGGCGGCUUUCUGGGUCAACACUGACGCUGAGGCGCGAAAGUAUGGGUAGCAAAGAGGAUUAGAUACCCUCGUAGUCCAUACCAUAAACGAUGAUUGCUAGAUGUUGGAAAUUUAUUUUCAGUAUCGCAGCUAACGCAUUAAGCAAUCCGCCUGGGGAGUACGACCGCAAGGUUAAAACUCAAAUGAAUUGACGGGGACCCGCACAAGCGGUGGAGCAUGUGGUUUAAUUCGAAGAUACGCGCAGAACCUUACCAACCCUUGACAUGUCUGUCGCGAGUUUAGGAAACUAGACUUUUCGGUUCGGCCGGACAGAACACAGGUGCUGCAUGGCUGUCGUCAGCUCGUGUCGUGAGAUGUUGGG